rnacentral:piRNA from 1 species
UUGAGAUAAUUCAAAACUUAU